GAUGAACGCUGGCGGCGUGCCUAAUACAUGCAAGUCGAGCGAACAGACGAGGAGCUUGCUCCUCUGACGUUAGCGGCGGACGGGUGAGUAACACGUGGAUAACCUACCUAUAAGACUGGGAUAACUUCGGGAAACCGGAGCUAAUACCGGAUAAUAUAUUGAACCGCAUGGUUCAAUAGUGAAAGACGGUUUUGCUGUCACUUAUAGAUGGAUCCGCGCCGCAUUAGCUAGUUGGUAAGGUAACGGCUUACCAAGGCAACGAUGCGUAGCCGACCUGAGAGGGUGAUCGGCGACACUGGAACUGGAACACGGUCCAGACGCCUGCGGGAGGCAGCAGUAGGGAAUCUUCCGCAAUGGGCGAGAGCCUGACGGAGCGGCGCCGCGUGAGUGAUGGAGGUCUUCGGAUCGGAAAACUCUGUUAUUAGGGAAGAACAAAUGUGUAAGUAACUAUGCACGUCUUGACGGUACCUAAUCAGAAAGCCACGGCUAACUACGUG
rnacentral:rRNA from 1 species